AGUUAUGAAACUUUGUAGUUGAUAAUUUUUUCAUUUGACAUCAUCUUGUCAUCGAAAACUACAUUUGAAUUUCAUAAAUUUGAAAUUGAAAUUUUGUAAAUGACCUCGGAUGGAAAAACUUCCAAUAUAAAAGUUGUAGAUCUUAAAGAGUUAUUAAAAAGUUAUGAAACUUUGUAGUUGAUAACUUUUUCAUUGGAAUCCGUUUAGGGCCUCAAAUAAUCAAUAUAUGCUCGGUUUGGGAUAAUAUGUGGGGAACUAAACUCUAAUAUAAACACAAGGGAGUGAUAGGUGGAGUGGUAGA
rnacentral:lncRNA from 1 species